rnacentral:lncRNA from 1 species
CUUGGCUCGAGCCAGCUACAUUUCCUCGGUCUAGAACCAAUUUUCCUUGAUCAUAAACAUGAAUACUAUGUUAGUAAAAAAAUUAUAAACUCUUGAAGUUACAUACAUGUGAAAAGAAUAAUAUAAGUACUAACAUGUCUCCAAACUUCCUUUGUCGCAUGCCUUCCAGUAUCAACUGGCUUCAACAGUCCUUGAUACUAGUCCUGUACAUAGAAAAAUUAAUUACUAUGAUACUAUUCUAUUUGAAAUAAUCUAUGAAACAAAUGAUGAAGUACUUACAAAACCCAAUGCAUUACGCUUGAAGUGAUAUCUUUUGUUGUAUCCUUUUAGUCUACAUAAAUGAGCAUGUCAUCAAUACCCUUCAUUUUCUCCUAACAUGUGAUUUUCCCUCGCGGUGUGCAAUAACAUCUUCAUCCACUUGUCUCCUCUUUUUCUUUUGCUUUUUACCCCUCCACGAAGAAGUCCAAGAAGGUGGAAGGAUGGGUACAUUGUCUAGCUGCGGCCAUAAUUGUAUUCCAUGAAUAGGAUUCAAAAUGUUAUCAUCGCAUCUCAAAUGCGUAUCGUUUGUGUAAUAGUUGUCCACAUAAUCCUGGGGACAUUUCUACACUCCCGUAUAAUGGCCAUGGUAUGACUACAUGGUAUCCCCGUCAAGUCCUAACUCAUAUUUGCGCAACUCUGUUCUUCCAAAUAAACGAAAUAGAUCCCUAACUUGUAACUUUCCUAAAAAUAUAAUGUACACUCAUUGGACAACUUGGCAAUCUUAUCAAGCUUUUUUUAAUCCUCGAACACAAUCACCCUUCGCACCUCCUCAUUUCAUUUCGACGCUCUCAAUCCUGGUCAUAAACCCCAACUGCAUAUCUGUAAGCAUCAUUACAAUAAACUUCUCUAUGUCAUCUAUUAGCAUCUUAUUGAAAACUUUGCACAAGUUUUUCAAUAAAAUAUCACUCUUCGAACAUGUCUCGAAAUGAGAUUUUCUCCACUUUCCUAGAUGCCUCUCGUUCAACUAGUUAUAAGCUCCUUGACUAAAUUGAUGUAUUUGCUGCAUUUGCUGUCUUUGGUCAGCUAAGGUAGUAGACUUAGCAGCCCCACCACUUCAAAGUCUUCCCCUUAUAUCCCGCAUUGAAAAUGUUUAUGUACACAUGUCUGACACAGAACCUAUGCUCCACCUCUAGAAAUAACUCAUCAACAACAUUACUUAAUCCCUUCUGCCUAUCUGCCAUCAAGUCCACUUAUCCCGAUUUCCCAUUUGAAUAUUCUCUAAUAAAUAUUUCAGAAACCACUUCCAAGCAGCUGUGUUCUCCUUUUGGACAACAUCAUGUGAAACGAGAUAGAUAUAGUCACUUGCAUCUAGAUCGAUAGCAAUGAGCUGUACACCAUCCCAAACACCCUGAAGAUGGCACCCGUCUACUCCGAUGAUUUUUCUACACCCAUGUUGAAACCCUGAUUUGCAAGCACUAAAACAGAUGUAUGCACCUUGAAACACCUACCCAUUAAGUCUUAUCAUUACUGUGGAUCCUAGAUUGGUCCUCAAUACCUCAGACGCAUACGACCUUAGUCACAAAAAUUGGUCUCCGAUAGUAGCGUUUAUCAAUUGCUUCGCAUAUCUUCAGACCUUCCCAGUGACAUUUCUAGCAAUGUUUAUUUUCAAGUCUUCCUUCACGGUUGCCUGCAUACUUUUCGUUUUACACUCUGGAUUUGCCUUGAACUGGUCAAUGUAUCAAUUCAUUAUGAAAAUGUCAUUAUAAUGAUGAUUGUAACAAUCCCUACUCCAUAUGUUGAGGUAUAUAUUACUUCACUUGAACGGUUUCUGAAUUAUUCAUCUUAGAAGCCCAUAUUCUUUAUUUGCAUUCCGAUUUACAGAUGCCUUGAACUCUUCUUUUGUCAUUUACCUUGCACUUGACAUUAUAUUCGUUUACUUCUCUGUAAGCCCAGAUCGCCUUCCUAAAUUCUUGAACAAAACAAAACAUUUGAUCCACCUCAAACUUCGAUCGCUCAUAAAUGUUUCAACCAUAAACUUUGUAAAUCGACACCCUACCCAUCGUUAGAUGAUAUAACGAACAAUAGUUCUUUAGAUGAUGGAUAUUCUAUAUCUUUGGUGUCUUGGUAUUCAUUGUGCACUAGUAUUGCCUGAUCCUCUUUUUCUAAUCCAAUGGUUUCCCUCCCAUCACAAUCUAACUCAAUUCCAUCUGUCACUUUUUUUUUUCGAAUAGCAUAUCGUCUUCAUCAAUAUGUCGUUAUCAAAAUUAUUGAAGUCAGUGUCAUUGUCCGUAUCUGUCACAUAAAAAAGAUAUUGAAAAUGAUCUGAAUCAAAUUCUCUCUACAUAUCACAGAAGCCACAUAGCAUAAUCCAAAUAUUCUGGCUGAAAAUUUCUUGGUUAUAAAGCCCAAAAAGAUAUCUUAAUCCUCCAUUUGAGUUGAAGCCGUCACUGGUGCUCUCACAAGCUAAUUUUAUGGUAAUAUAAUUCAUACAAAUUUGUAUCACAUAUACCACUCUUAAAGCCAGACAUCAGUUUUCUGAACUCUGUAUUCAAAGGCUUGUUGACAUAUUUUUAAUUCGUCAUAAUUUUUAGUUCUCUGCCAAACUGAAGCCAUAGAAUUAAUGUAAGAGUCGUGCUACAGUGCCUGGAGGAUGACCAUGGGAUUGACACAAUACACACACAUGGGAUCGGAAUUAUUUUAUUCAUGAAAUACCCACACCAGGGAUGUGAGGGCGCGAUAACCCGCAUCCUAGCGGGUCGUUUGGCAUUUUCCUUAAUGUAAAUGGAGAACAAGUCUAAUGCACAUGGGUUUUGAAA